UACGGGCGGCAGCAGUGGGGAAUAUUGGACAAUGGGCGAAAGCCUGAUCCAGCCAUGCCGCGUGUGUGAAGAAGGCCUUCGGGUUGUAAAGCACUUUCAGUGGGGAAGAAAGCCUUGGGGCUAAUACCCUCGAGGAAGGACAUCACCCACAGAAGAAGCACCGGCUAACUCCGUGGCCAGCAGCCGCGGUAAUACGGAGGGUGCGAGCGUUAAUCGGAAUUACUGGGCGUAAAGCGCGCGUAGGCGGUCUGAUAAGCCGGUUGUGAAAGCCCCGGGCUCAACCUGGGAACGGCAUCCGGAACUGUCAGGCUAGAGUGCAGGAGAGGAAGGUAGAAUUCCCGGUGUAGCGGUGAAAUGCGUAGAGAUCGGGAGGAAUACCAGUGGCGAAGGCGGCCUUCUGGACUGACACUGACGCUGAGGUGCGAAAGCGUGGGUAGCAAACAGGAUUAGAUACCCCGGUAGUC
rnacentral:rRNA from 1 species